UCCUUCUCUCCACCCCCCGGGGUGUGGCAUUGGAGCCCAAGUCGGUGUCGAACCAACUGGCUCUCAAAAAUAAUGACGGCGUCCGUGGGACCCUCGAUACACCGAGCCCUUUCGAGAGCACGUGUCGAGUUGCAAGGACCCUCCGGGCCGGUCUGAACCCAAUCUAUUUUCUCA
rnacentral:misc_RNA from 1 species